rnacentral:rRNA from 1 species
CAGCGCCACGAGUGGCAACCAUGAUUAUUGGGCCUAAAGCGUUCGUAGCCGGUUUAGUAAAUCUUCUGUGAAAUCGUCUCGCUUAACGAAACGACGUGCAAGAGACACUACUAAACUUGAGACCGGGAGGAGCAAGGAGUAUUCUUGGGGGAGCGGUAAAAUGUUAUAAUCCCUUGAAGACUACCUGUGGCGAAGGCGCCUUGCUAGAACGGAUCUGACGGUGAGGGACGAAAGCCAGGGGAGCGAACCGGAUUAGAUACCCGAGUAGUCA